rnacentral:misc_RNA from 1 species
AACUUUCAACAAUGGAUCACUUGGCACGCCUAUCGAUGAAGAGCGCAGCGAAACGCGAAAUGUAAUGUGAAUUGCAGAAACCCCGUGAAUCAUCGAAUCCUUGAACGCACCUUGCGCCCUGGGGUAUUCCCCUGGGCAUGCCUGUCUGAGUGUCGCACACCUCUCAACCACCCUAGCGUGGCUUGGACCGUGGCUGCAGGCUGUUUCGACAGCCCGGCCGAAAUGCAUGCGGAGCGAUCGCGCAAACUGUGACGUUGACUGGCGUUGUAGACCCCUCGCUGGAUGACCGAACGAGAGCGUGGCUCCCCCGUCUAAUGAUUUCGACCUCAGAUCAAGCAGGACUACCCGCUGAACUUAAGCAUAUCAAUAAGCGGAGGCU